rnacentral:rRNA from 1 species
CAGUAGCCACGGUAAUACGAAGGGGGCUAGCGUUGUUCGGAUUUACUGGGCGUAAAGCGCACGUAGGCGGACUUUUAAGUCAGGGGUGAAAUCCCGGGGCUCAACCCCGGAACUGCCUUUGAUACUGGAAGUCUUGAGUAUGGUAGAGGUGAGUGGAAUUCCGAGUGUAGAGGUGAAAUUCGUAGAUAUUCGGAGGAACACCAGUGGCGAAGGCGGCUCACUGGACCAUUACUGACGCUGAGGUGCGAAAGCGUGGGGAGCAAACAGGAUUAGAUACCCGAGUAGUCCCUGUCUCUUAUAC